ensembl:lncRNA LINC01622 long intergenic non-protein coding RNA 1622
AAGUUCCACCUCUUCCACGAAGCCCUCCUUGAUUGCUGGGCCCUGGUUGAACUCCUUAUUAGUAACACCCAGGUUAGUCCUACUUAAUUCUUACCUGCAGCCAAAGUGGACUUAGCAUCUCCUUGCAUGCCUGGUAAAGUCAAGGGUUUUCAGCCAGGGCCUGUGUAUAAAGCAGAAGCAGCACAGAGUCUGGUUUGAAGCUUAGUGCUUGGGUUCAGACAGUUGUGGGUUACAAUCCCUUCUACACAUGUUCUCUGUGGAAACCAUUUGGUUCUCUGUGCUUGGAACUCGCCUGCAACGGGACAAAGCCAUCUCACCUAGACUGUUGUUAUGAAGAUUGAAUUAGGUGAUUCUGAGAGGCAUUUAUGCGUCCUCCCUGAGUAACAAUCCAUGAAAAGUGGGCGUCAUUGCUGAAGCUCAAGGAAGAAAUAUGAAAUUUGAUUAUAUCCUUAUUCACGGCAUUGGGUCACCAACUCAGCACUUUUUAUGAAAGUAGCAUCUGACCUGGCAAAGGCUGUGUCAUCUUAUUACCUCAGAAAGACAAAUUUACGGGGUCAGACGAUGGAUGGCUUGUAGAUUUCUCAAUGGGCUGGAAGGAAGGAGAGAAAAAGAGAGACAGGAGAGAGUACACAUUUAAUUCUGCUUCCCCUAGGGUGAUAUUUCCUUCCUCCCCUUCCAGGGUUCUCAAAAAGGCAUUCUAGGAAGUCCUGUAAAAUACAUGCUCAUAAAAAUCUCAUAAUUUCCACAAAUUGUUGAGAAUUUAAAACUCGGUUGGGAGUUUGCUGUUUCAGCCUGAGACACCGGGGUCACGUUUCAGUGCCUGCAGUCUUGAGACAGUACCAGGCAUCUGGGAUGAAGCUGAGGAAAGAAGAUGUGGGGGCCCUGCUGGCCUGCUCCUUCUCUCGAAAGACGCUUACCGGCUGCUGGUGUGUCACAGGGCUUUAGGAUUUGGAAAAACAGAGGGAUUUAAAAGAAGAUAGAAUGGUCAGAAUUUCGAGAACUGUGUGCUGAAGUGCCAUCUUUAGGGUGCUCAUAACACGGCCUUACAACAUUAGAGGUGCUGGAAUCAUGGAAGAGGCAUCUGGACUCUGUAAUGUCCUUCCCCCUGGAAAAUCUGCUCCAGAAGUGGGGGAUUGGGAGCUGUCAACAUAUGAGCCAUCUUUUGCUCCGUUCAAGAUGGUAGGGGCAUUCUCAACAUGCCCCUCACUCUGAUUCUGCCUCACUUUUAUUUUAGAAUUUUCCACUGCCUUUUCUGGAAUGUGCUUUUUCAACCCUCAAAAUCUGUAGAGAAGAAAUAAGCAGAAACCGAAAUGGCUUUCUGGUGUUCUCCAUGCUCUCAGCUUACUGGAAAAUCGAGCCGCAGGCUCGAGGCUGGACUUUAAGGCAGAGCACUGCAAUUAUAGUGCUAUGGCCUUGGCUUCCUUUCUCAUCACCCAGGUACAGUCCUGCAGUCCUCAGAGGAUGCCAGUCCCACACAGGGGGAUCCUUCUCCAUAGGAAAACCGAGGAACAAUGCAGGUUCGAGGUGCACAGUGGCUAAGCACACUCAGUCCUCAAGAUCUUUCCUCUCAAAUGCUAAUGCUACCUUCAGAUGGGCUGCUGCCUGCUACCAUUUCAACAUUGAGUCCUUUAAGAUGCCAUCAGAGAGAGGGGAAGCAAGAGGCCAAGAAAAAUGAAAGACUGUACAAGAAGCAUAGUGUCAGGAACUGCUUCUGGAGAGGCCUCAGGAAGCCUUUACUCAUGGCAGAAGGCAAAGCCGGAGUGGAUGUGUCACAUGGCGAGAGAAGACGCAACAGAUGGGAGAGGUUUCAGACUCUUUAAUAAGCAGCUCUCCCGCAGCAGCAAGUCACGCAUGAGGGAACUGCUCCAUGACCCAGACACCUCCCACCAGUCCCUGCCUCCAACACUGGGGAUCACAUUUCAACAGGAGAUGUGGAGGCCACAAA